UGGGAGAAGGUGAGCUCUGACUGACUGGGUGCUUGGAGCCUUAGACUGGCACAUCUAAUGCUGCCCCAGAAAAGAAAGGGUUAUGAUGGGGCCAUGAGGGUCAAUGAAAGCCUGUGGGCCCAGCUGGCCCUGCCCCACCUGCAGCAAAUGUUGGUUGUAGAGCGGGAGGAGGAAGUCUAGCCUGCUGACCAGAAAGGGAGCACAGCUGUGGUUCCCCUGAUGAGAGAGGAGCAUGGUUGUAGCCCAGAUGAGCCCCUGCUGGAAGGGACAAUCAGACUGUUUGGAGACAAAUCUGUGGAAACACCGACUGUUUGGAGACAAGCCUUGAAGAGAAGGGUGGGGUCCCACAAUGGGUUUGUUGGAUACCCCUGUUUUGAGUUGUGGAUUUUUUUUUGUUCUUGAUUUUCUUUGCACCUCAACACCCCAGAAGUGGUAGGACUGAAGUUUGCCUGGGCUAGAGCGAAAGAACCACUCCUGUGGACCUCACAGUGACCUAGCAAUGGAAACCUGCAGCUGGGACUUAAAAACAGAUGUUCCCUCUCUGGUAUAAAAGCAGCACGGAGGAGAUGGAAAUCAUCCGAAAGCAACAUGGUUUUAAGACAUGGAGAUGCUAAUGAACUUCCUCCAUUAUCAGUCUUUGAAGCCACCCACCAGAGAGAUACACAUACACUAGUUCAAACUGGAUUCUCCAGAGACCAAGAGACAAAGAAAAGACUUGGAUAAAUAGUCUCAGUUUAAACUGACUCGCGGCCUCCUUCCUGAGCUAGCCAUCAGACAGGACCUCUGGUCCACAGAGGGCACCAAUCCUUGAGGAAGAACUCGGCCUACUCAGGCCCCAGAAGACUGAGUGCUCAUUCUGAGCUGAAGCUGUGAUGACCUUGUAACCACAAGGAAACCCUAGGGUGGAGAGUUGAAAGGCUGCUCCUGCCCGAGCCCAUGUUAGAG